UGCGUGUGUGGGUCCUCUCUGGGUUGUUUAGAAUGAAUAACUUCACUUGGCCUAACCAACAAAACAUUUUCCGUGGUACUUUAAAUACGAAGGUUGAAUAGAUCGCAAUAUAGCAUAGUUACUCCAAUGAUUGUAGAUUGAAAAUUGAUGUAUAUAGUUAUCAAAGGUACCAGGAUUAUAAUUUAGUACGCCAGACGCGCGUUUCGUCUACGUAAGAC
rnacentral:lncRNA from 1 species